rnacentral:rRNA from 1 species
GACGAACGCUGGCGGCGUGCCUAAUACAUGCAAGUCGAGCGAAGUUUUUCUGGUGCUUGCACUAGAAAAACUUAGCGGCGAACGGGUGAGUAACACGUAAAGAACCUGCCUCAUAGACUGGGACAACUAUUGGAAACGAUAGCUAAUACCGGAUAACAGUAUUUCUCGCAUGAGAGAUAUUUAAAAGUUGGUUAUGCUAACACUAUGAGAUGGCUUUGCGGUGCAUUAGCUAGUUGGCGGGGUAAAGGCCCACCAAGGCGACGAUGCAUAGCCGACCUGAGAGGGUGAUCGGCCACACUGGGACUGAGACACGGCCCAGACUCCUACGGGAGGCAGCAGUAGGGAAUCUUCCGCAAUGGGCGAAAGCCUGACGGAGCAACGCCGCGUGAGUGAAGAAGGAUUUCGGUUCGUAAAGCUCUGUUGUUAGGGAAGAAUGGAUAUGUAGUAACUAUACAUGUAAGAGACGGUACCUAACCAGAAAGCCACGGCCAACUACGUG